GAUGAACGCUGGCGGCGUGCUUAACACAUGCAAGUCGGAACAACCGUUCGGGUUAGUGGCGGACGGGUGAGUAACGCGUGAGAAUCUGCCCUCAGGAGGGGGAUAACGGCUGGAAACGGCCGCUAAUACCCCAUAUGCCGAGAGGUGAAAUGAAUUUUCGCCUGAGGAUGAGCUCGCGUCUGAUUAGCUAGUUGGUGAGGUAAGAGCUUACCAAGGCGAUGAUCAGUAGCUGGUCUGAGAGGAUGAUCAGCCACACUGGGACUGAGACACGGCCCAGACUCCUACGGGAGGCAGCAGUGGGGAAUUUUCCGCAAUGGGCGAAAGCCUGACGGAGCAACGCCGCGUGAGGGAUGAAGGCCUCUGGGCUGUAAACCUCUUUUCUCAAGGAAGAAGAUCUGACGGUACUUGAGGAAUAAGCCACGGCUAAUUCCGUG
rnacentral:rRNA from 1 species